rnacentral:lncRNA from 1 species
CAUAGAUAUCCAUGCACCGCAUGUUCAGAUAUAUUAAAUAUGUGAGAAGGACUUGAUUCAAUCCAUCAUCACUGUGAAACACUGCUCAAAGUGAAUACAUUUGGGAGAGUUAUGAAGACAAAAUGCAUUUAGGAAUAAAGUGACUAAAAUACAUAGAUGGAUCCUGGACUUCUGUGAAAUCUUCCACUCAAGAAUUCUACCCAGGAGGAUUAGAGAUGGCUUUAUCUCUGUUAUGUAUGUAGAGAUUCCUAUUGUUGGGUAAAUUUUCUAGUCUGUUUUAUGCCAGAUCCUUGUCUCUCAAUUUACCACUCUAAUAGUAUUUUCUCAUUCAGCAUACAGUUGAGGAAAAUGAUAUAUAUUUGCAUAUAUUAAAUUACUGUCAUCCUUUCUUAGA